rnacentral:rRNA from 1 species
AACGCGAAGAACCUUACCAGGUCUUGACAUCCUUUGACCACUCUAGAGAUAGAGCUUUCCCUUCGGGGACAAAGUGACAGGUGGUGCAUGGUUGUCGUCAGCUCGUGACGUGAGAUGUUGGGUUAAGUCCCGCAACGAGCGCAACCCCUAUUAUUAGUUGCCAGCAUUCAGUUGGGCACUCUAGUGAGACUGCCGGUGAUAAACCGGAGGAAGGUGGGGAUGACGUCAAAUCAUCAUGCACCUUAUGACCUGGGCUACACACGUGCUACAAUGGAUGGUACAACGAGUCGCAAGGUCGCGAGGCCAAGCUAAUCUCUUAAAGCCAUUCUCAGUUCGGAUUGCAGGCUGCAACUCGCCUGCAUGAAGCCGGAAUCGCUAGUAAUCGCGGAUCAGCACGCCGCGGUGAAUACGUUCCCGGGUCUUGUACACACGC